rnacentral:rRNA from 1 species
CGGGAGGCAGCAGUGGGGAAUCUUGGGCAAUGGGCGGAAGCCUGACCCAGCGACGCCGCGUGGGGGAGGAAGGCCUUCGGGUUGUAAACCCCGUUAGUGUGGGAAGAAGGAUGACGU